rnacentral:rRNA from 1 species
UACGUUCCCGGGCCUUGUACACACCGCCCGUCACACCAUGGGAGUUGGUUUUUACCCGAAGCCGGUGGGGUAACCCCGCAAGGGGAGCUAGCCGACCACGGUAAGGUCAGCGACUGGGGUG